rnacentral:lncRNA from 1 species
UUACUCACGUGUUGAGUUGUCAUUUGCCGAGCUUCUUUCGGCUUUUGCCUUGCUUGAUAUCGAUGUCAUUCGAAGGUACCCGAUCGCCGUCAUGUUGACCCAUCCUUUUGUUUAUGGCCACAGAUUUAUCCGGUGCCGCUCGAGUUUGAUGCCUCCUUUCAGAGUUCGGGCUCAGGGGUCUGAACUUCUCGUUGCCCUAAGGAAGCCGUCUUAUCCUUGGCCUGCAUUGAGAGCUCUCUUGGAGAUCGAAGAUUUUGAUAAGAACCCCAAUCCUCGCUGAGAUGAGGUUCCCUGUAUCUUUGAUGUAAUUUAUUUUUCAUUUAUCGCUGAUGUAGUUCAUUGCUUUCCUUUUUAACCUCCCCCCUUUUUCUUUUUCUUUUCUCGAGUGAGGGUUUUCCCUCUACUCUUAGUGGGGUCGCGGGAGCACGGAGGGGCCGUCGAGAAGGUUUCCUUUUUCUUAUCUGGUCUUGAAUGACCAGACCUUAGUUGGUGUCAGGAUGAGGUUCUUCCCCUAUUUCUGAUGUAAUCGGUUUCAGCUCAGGUUAGGAUGAGGUUCUCCUUCUGUUCCUAAUAGGGCUGCGGGGGCAC